rnacentral:rRNA from 1 species
CAGGACGAACGCUGGCGGCGUGCCGUAACACAUGCAAGUCGAGCGAGGAGAUUCCUUCGGGAUGAUCCUAGCGGCGGACGGGUGAGUAACACGUGGGCAACCUGCCUCAUAGAGAGGAAUAGCCUUCCGAAAGGGAGAUUAAUACCUCAUAACAUUGCAGUUUCGCAUGGAACAGCAAUUAAAGGAGUAAUCCGCUAUGAGAUGGGCCCGCGGCGCAUUAGCUAGUUGGUGAGGUAACGGCUCACCAAGGCGACGAUGCGUAGCCGACCUGAGAGGGUGAUCGGCCACAUUGGGACUGAGACACGGCCCAGACUCCUACGGGAGGCAGCAGUGGGGAAUAUUGCACAAUGGGGGAAACCCUGAUGCCAGCAACGCCGCGUGAGUGAUGACGGCCUUCGGGUUGUAAAGCUCUGUCUUCAGGGACGAUAAUGACGGUACCUGAGGAGGAAGCCACGGCUAACUACGUGCCAGCCGCGGC